GCCCCCACCCCCAAAGUUAACAGUGGAGGCCUUCUCAUCUGAGAGUAUAAGAGUGAAUUGCUUUGUUGAAAUCACAUUAGAUCACUUUAGUCUAAUCACUCGGAAGAUCUUUCAGGUAACGUUGCGCUUCGGCAGGAGUGGGGAAAAUUUUGAUAGAUCCCUGGUGCCUGAUGCGAAGUUGCGCUGGGUACAUCAGAGCAUAUUCAAUCUCCUUCUCUCGCAGCCUCUGUUCCACGUCACGGAACUCGUCUCUUCUGCAUUGCAGGUCUGCGCUGUAAUCCGGGAAAAAAGAUAUUUUCUUAUUCUCAUACGUCAUCUCUCCCCUACUUCUAGCCAGUCAGAGGACUUUCUCUUUGUCUCUGAAGUUCAGAAACUUAGCAAUGAGGGGCCGUGGUCUGUCAGACUUCUUCCCAACGCGGUGUACUCUUUCAAGGGUAAUGUGUGAGGUGAAGUUAUCAUUCCCCAGGAUUUGUGGUAUAAAUUUCUCCAAAAAUCCAACAGCGUCGCAGCCUUCUGCUUGCUCAGGGAUGUUCAGUAUCCUAAGGUUGGACCUUCUACUGCGGUUCUCCAAGUUGUCAAUUUUGUCUUUUGAGUUGCGUUGUCAAUUUCUCCAUUUUAUCGACACGGUUGUGUGCAUCUUUAAUGUCGUCUUUGUUUGCGCUCACUCACGCCUCCAUCUCCUCAACCUGCUCUGAAAGCGCAUUGUGAGAGGAUUCAAUUUUCGUCAGGGUUGUUUGUAUGUCAGCCGUUUUUUUUGGGGGUUUUUUUGUUUGUUUUGUUUUUGGUUCGUGAGGUCCUCUUUAGUGUCCUUGAUAGCAUUGAGUAAUUUGCUAAUUGGCAAAUCCUCCUUCCCAUCCGCCAUAUUUCUUGUUGCUAAUAUGUGCAGGUGUCCUGAAGUUUUAGCCGUUUUCUUUCGUUUUGAGUGUCGCAAAUUAUAACUUGCCAUACAGAAGUUUCCUUAGUAACCUUGCCUCUUGCUAUGGUCCAGAAUUAUAUGAGGGCAAGUCAGGAUAAAGAUAGAUUCCUGGGCCUACCGCCGAGAGCUCACGAAUACACGUCUACUCUCUUCCGCACUCAGCCAUCUUUUUCAUGAUCACCUUCUUAAAGACUUUAAUCAAGAUGGCAAUUGUUUUUUGUGGGCUAAACUGUGAUUUUGGCGUAGAAAAUAUUGCAAUGGUGCUUUUAAUUAAAAGAGAUUCCACACAUGAAUACUGAAACUUAAACUGGCGAAUGAUUUAUGGUGGAAGGAAAGAUGUGGCCAGGUUGUAGUCACAGGCUGAUUUAUUUAAUAUAGAAAAACUACUUUUGUCAUUGUGAAGCUCACAGAGCAGUUCAAGCGCAGCUGUGACAUAUUGUACUCAUGAAGAAAAAAGUUGGCAAGCAAAACAGCUGAUGGCCUUAGUUGUUACUAAUUUGAAUGCACACUUAAUUAUUAUUUUUGCUCACAUUAGCCAGCAGAAUAUGUUCUUAAUACUACUAGCUCACUUUAAAAU
ensembl:lncRNA